rnacentral:rRNA from 1 species
GACGUAGGGGGCAAGCGUUGUCCGGAUUUAUUGGGCGUAAAGAGCGUGUAGGCGGCCAGACAGGUCCGUUGUGAAAACUCGAGGCUCAACCUCGAGACGCCGAUGGAAACCGUCUGGCUAGAGUCCGGAAGAGGAGAGUGGAAUUCCUGGUGUAGCGGUGAAAUGCGCAGAUAUCAGGAAGAACACCCGUGGCUAAGGCGGCUCUCUAGUACGGUACUGACGCUGAGACGCGAAAGCGUGGGGAGCGAACAGG